UACCAGCACCCCGAGUGGUCGGGACGUUUAUUGGGCCUAAAGCAUCCGUAGCCGGUUCUACAAGUCUUCCGUUAAAUCCAGCUGCCUAACAGAUGGGCUGCGGAAGAUACUAUGGAGCUAGGAGGCGGGAGAGGCAAGCGGUACUCGAUGGGUAGGGGUAAAAUCCGUUGAUCCAUUGAAGACCACCAGUGGCGAAGGCGGCUUGCCAGAACGCGCUCGACGGUGAGGGAUGAAAGCUGGGGGAGCAAACCGG
rnacentral:rRNA from 1 species